rnacentral:rRNA from 1 species
AGAAUCAACGCUGGCGGCGUGCCUAACACAUGCAAGUCGCACGAGAAAGUGGAGCAAUCCAUGAGUAAAGUGGCGCACGGGUGAGUAACACGUGAAUAAUCUACCUCCGAGUGGGGGAUAACUGAGAGAAAUCUUAGCUAAUACCGCAUAAUACCCACGGGUCAAAGCAGCAAUGCGCUUGGAGAGGAGUUCGCGGCCGAUUAGUUAGUUGGCGGGGUAAUGGCCCACCAAGACGAUGAUCGGUAUCCGGCCUGAGAGGGCGCACGGACACACUGGAACUGAAACACGGUCCAGACUCCUACGGGAGGCAGCAGUGGGGAAUUUUGCGCAAUGGGGGAAACCCUGACGCAGCAACGCCGCGUGGAGGAUGAAGCCCCUUGGGGUGUAAACUCCUUUCGAUCGGGAAGAUAAUGACGGUACCGAUAUAAGAAGCCCGGCUAACUUCGCGCCAGCAGCCGC